GACGAACGCUGGCGGCGUGCUUAACACAUGCAAGUCGAACGGCAGCAUAAUUUGUAGCAAUACAAAUGGAUGGCGAGUGGCGGACGGGUGAGUAACACGUAGGAAUCUGCCCUAAAGAGGGGGAUAACCCGAGGAAACUCGGGCUAAUACCGCAUAAUCUCUGAGGAGAAAAGCUGGGGUAACCUGGCGCUUUAGGAGGAGCCUGCGUCUGAUUAGCUAGUUGGUGGGGUAAAGGCCACCAAGGCGACGAUCAGUAGCUGGUCUGAGAGGAUGAUCAGCCACACUGGGACUGAGACACGGCCAGACUCCUACGGGAGCAGCAGUGGGGAAUAUUGGACAAUGGGGGCAACCCUGAUCCAGCAAUACCGCGUGUGUGAAGAAGGCC
rnacentral:rRNA from 1 species